rnacentral:rRNA from 1 species
AGACCCGAAACCCGGUGAUCUAGCCAUGGGCAGGUUGAAGGUUGGGUAACACUAACUGGAGGACCGAACCGACUAAUGUUGAAAAAUUAGCGGAUGACCUGUGGCUGGGGGUGAAAGGCCAAUCAAACCGGGAGAUAGCUGGUUCUCCCCGAAAGCUAUUUAGGUAGCGCCUCGUGAAUUCAUCUCCGGGGGUAGAGCACUGUUUCGGCUAGGGGGCCAUCCCGGCUUACCAACCCGAUGCAAACUGCGAAUACCGGAGAAUGUUAUCACGGGAGACACACGGCGGGUGCUAACGUCCGUCGUGAAGAGGGAAACAACCCAGACCGCCAGCUAAGGUCCCAAAGUCAUGGUUAAGUGGGAAACGAUGUGGGAAGGCCCAGACAGCCAGGAUGUUGGCUUAGAAGCAGCCAUCAUUUAAAGAAAGCGUAAUAGCUCACUGGUCGAGUCGGCCUGCGCGGAAGAUGUAACGGGGCUAAACCAUGCACCGAAGCUGCGGCAGCGACACUGUGUGUUGUUGGGUAGGGGAGCGUUCUGUAAGCCUGUGAAGGUGUGUCGUGAGGCAUGCUGGAGGUAUCAGAAGUGCGAAUGCUGACAUAAGUAACGAUAAAGCGGGUGAAAAGCCCGCUCGCCGGAAGACCAAGGGUUCCUGUCCAACGUUAAUCGGGGCAGGGUGAGUCGACCCCUAAGGCGAGGCCGAAAGGCGUAGUCGAUGGGAAACGGGUUAAUAUUCCCGUACUUGGUGUUACUGCGAAGGGGGGACGGAGAAGGCUAUGUUGGCCGGGCGACGGUUGUCCCGGUUUAAGCGUGUAGGUGUGUGUUCCAGGUAAAUCCGGUUCACUUUAACACUGAGGCGUGACGACGAGGCACUACGGUGCUGAAGCAACAAAUGCCCUGCUUCCAGGAAAAGCCUCUAAGCAUCAGGUAACAUCAAAUCGUACCCCAAACCGACACAGGUGGUCAGGUAGAGAAUACCAAGGCGCUUGAGAGAACUCGGGUGAAGGAACUAGGCAAAAUGGUGCCGUAACUUCGGGAGAAGGCACGCUGACACGUAGGUGAAGUGAUUUACUCAUGGAGCUGAAGUCAGUCGAAGAUACCAGCUGGCUGCA